AAUAUGCCAUUUCCUUCUUUUGCGUAAAGUUUGUCCGAAUCCAAUUUUGUAAAGGGAUCAUUCUUUUGUUGAUAAUAAUAUCUCACCACUAUCCUCGAAAAUCCUUCGAAAACAUUUUGAGCUACAGAAACUUCCAUUAUAGAGUGAUUACUUCAGGUUCGGGUUCUUUUCCAAGUUGCAAAAGGAGAGCAACCACUAGGAGAGGAAUCAGAAUACUUAGUUUUUGUUUCUUGCUAGAUUUGGGGAUAAGGGUUCCAAAUAUCAACAGUAAUUUUGUAACAAAUUAAAAUGCUUACUCUUUUACCUUCCUUUUCAUACAG